GGGGGCGACAGGUUUCGACAGCAUGACGGAAGGUCCGGAAGCGCGAGCCGAGGAUAGGGCAGCCUCGUAAAUCAGGCUCUAAAACAAUAAUUGCCAACGAAGAUUUCGCACUGGCUGCUUAGUUAAAGCAGUCACGUUCCCCGGGGGCUCGGUCGUUGGAACCCGGAAGGACGUCAGAAAGACGACUGGAAACGAAGCAGCGCCAUCCGGCUGCGUUUCGAGACUCUAGGGACAGCUGGGAAUCUCUGAUCCUGUUCGUGGGAGCGGAAAUUCCGAAAUCAAAGCACGAACUACGCUCGUAGUGCAUCCCGAUUGUCUCUUGCUGGACCGGAGUUCGAUUCUCCGCGCCUCCACCA
rnacentral:tmRNA from 1 species